UACAGAGGAUGCAAACGUUGCUCGGAAUUACUGGGCGUAAAGCGCGCGCAGGUGGCCAAGUAAGUCGGGUGUGAAAGCCCAGGGCUCAACCCUGGAAGUGCACUCGAUACUGCAUGGCUAGAGUACUGGAGAGGAGAGCGGAAUACUCGGUGUAGAGGUGAAAUUCGUAGAUAUCGGGUGGAACACCAGUGGCGAAGGCGGCUCUCUGGACGGAUACUGACACUGAGGCGCGAAAGCGUGGGAAGCAAACAGG
rnacentral:rRNA from 1 species